GCCUGGGUGGCUGAGUCGGUUAAGUGUCUGACUUCAGCUCAGGUCAUGAUCUCAUGGAUCGUGGGUUCGAGCCCCGUGUCAGGCU
rnacentral:tRNA from 1 species